AGAACGAACGCUGGCGGCGUGGAUAAGACAUGCAAGUCGAACGGGAUUACUUUUGUAGCAAUACAGAAGUAAUUUAGUGGCGAACGGGUGCGUAACACGUGGGCAAUCUGCCGAAAAGUGGGGGAUAGCUCGCCGAAAGGCGAAUUAAUACCGCAUGUGGUGAGGGACGACAUCUUCCUGAAUCCAAAGCCGGGGUAACCUGGCGCUUUUUGAGGAGCCCGCGGCCUAUCAGCUAGUUGGUGAGGUAACGGCUCACCAAGGCUAUGACGGGUAGCUGGUCUGAGAGGACGACCAGUCACACUGGAACUGAGACACGGUCCAGACACCUACGGGUGGCAGCAGUCGAGAAUUUUCUCAAUGGGGGAAACCCUGAAGGAGCGACGCCGCGUGGAGGAUGAAGGCUUUCGGGUUAGUAAACUCCUGUCAUUUGAGAACAAGGUGCGAGUAUUAACGUGUAGCGCGUCAUUGAUAGUAAUCAGGAAGAGGAAGGACGGACUAACUCUGUGCCAGCA
rnacentral:rRNA from 1 species